GGGCGAGUGGCGGAACUGGUAUACGCGCACGACUCAAAAUCGUGUUCCUCCGGGAGUGUGGGUUCGAUUCCCACCUCGCCCACCA
rnacentral:tRNA from 1 species